rnacentral:rRNA from 1 species
UACGUAGGUGGCAAGCGUUGUCCGGAAUUAUUGGGCGUAAAGCGCGCGCAGGUGGUUUCUUAAGUCUGAUGUGAAAGCCCACGGCUCAACCGUGGAGGGUCAUUGGAAACUGGGGAACUUGAGUGCAGGAGAGAAGAGUGGAAUUCCACGUGUAGCGGUGAAAUGCGUAGAGAUGUGGGGGAACACCAGUGGCGAAGGCGGCUCUUUGGUCUGUAACUGACGCUGAGGCGCGAAAGCGUGGGGAGCGAACAGG